rnacentral:rRNA from 1 species
UCCGAAUUCGCCCUUCCUACGGGAGGCAGCAGCGAGGAAUCUUGGUCAAUGGGGGCAACCCUGAACCAGCGACGCCGCGUGGAGGACGACGGCCCUUGGGUCGUAAACUCCUUUUGCCGGGGAAGAAUGAUGACGGUACCCGGCGAAUAAGCCACGGCUAACUACCUGCCAGCAGCCCCGGUAAUAAGGGCGAAUUCC